CACAAGAAAUGAGCAUCAAAGCAAAAACCAGUAUUCACCAAAACUAGAAGAAUUCCCAGCUAUGGCCUCAGCAAUGUUGAAGAGAACAACAAUGAUAAAGUCAAUGGUUCAAAGCAUGAGAUCCUAUGCUUCUGUUUCUGUAGGUACUGAUCUUACAGUAGCUGCACCAAAUGUUUCACUACAAAAGGCUAGAUCUUGGGAUGAAGGUGUCUCCUCUAAAUUCUCUACUACCCCUCUCAAACAUAUUUUCAAGGUAAUGAUAAAUAUAAUCAAACUCCCUUUUAAAAAUUCCAUCUUUUGUUUUAAUUUAUAUUACCCUUUUGUUAUUUCUUCAACUUUUUUUAGGGUUCUUGAGUUCUGACUAUGUUGUAUAUUUUUCGGUGUUCAGGGUAAAAAAGUUAUAAUCUUUGGCCUUCCUGUAAGUUCACUUUCCUUAUAUAUUAAUAUUGCAAUUGAUUUUGAAUUAGUUGUAUGGUAAUUAGUAAUUCUCAUUUCUUGGCUUAGGAUGAGAUCAUAUGCUUCUGUUUCUGUAGGUACUGAUCUUACAGUAGCUGCACCAAAUGUUUCACUACAAAAGGCUAGAUCUUGGGAUGAAGGUGUCUCCUCUAAAUUCUCUACUACCCCUCUCAAACAUAUUUUCAAGGUAAUGAUAAAUAUAAUCAAACUCCCUUUUAAAAAUUCCAUCUUUUGUUUUAAUUUAUAUUACCCUUUUGUUAUUUC
rnacentral:lncRNA from 1 species